CAGAGUGAAGCUGCAGGACCAUGAAGAAGACGCCCGUGUUCUCCGCCAACAGCUGCUCUCCUCCCAAGAUGCACUGCAGCAAGUUACUGCCGAGCUGAGGUCAUGUAAACGAGAGAGGGAGAAGCAGGAUAGCCAGUGUGUGGAGACAGAGGAGAGACUGGCUGAGAUCAGAGCUGAUCUGGUCCAACUACAGCAGCAGUAUACCACCUGCUAUGCCCAGCUGGUCCAGGAGGAGGCUGGGGUGGGCAGGCUGAGGG